AGCAGCGGCCGGCCUGAACAUCU
rnacentral:snRNA from 1 species